AAUCAACGCUGGCGGCGUGCCUAACACAUGCAAGUCGAACGCGAAAGCCCCGCAAGGGGCAAGUAGAGUGGCAGACGGGUGAGUAACACGUGGGUGACCUGCCUUCGAGCGGGGGAUAACGUCCCGAAAGGGACGCUAAUACCGCAUAACAUCCUGCCUUUGAAGAGGUGGAGAUCAAAGCUGGGGAUCGCAAGACCCGGCACCUGAAGAGGGGCCCGCGUCUGAUUAGCUAGNGGUGGGGUAAGGUGCCUACCAAGGCAACGAUCAGUAUCCGGCCUGAGAGGGCGGACGGACACACUGGGACUGAGACACGGCCCAGACUCCUACGGGAGGCAGCAGUGGGGAAUUGUUCGCAAUGGGCGCAAGCCUGACGACGCAACGCCGCGUGGAGGAUGAAGAUUUCGGAUCGUAAACUCCUGUCGAAUGGGACGAACAGAUUACGGGUUAACAGCCUGUAGU
rnacentral:rRNA from 1 species